CCCGCUGCUUCCCAGCAAGACCCGCCGGCGACCUAGGGAUCCACCYGGUCGGAGGAGCCUGGGGACCGGCGCCCUGCAGCACCCCGUCAUGGCCUCACAGCUCUGCGCUUCGCAGAGGGCGAGAGCGGCGCUGGCCGUCGGGACGGAGACUCGGGGCCUCUGGGCGGAGGGCUUCCUUCCUGCCCCUGAUCCCUGCUCAGCCCGGGAGCGCCUCCCAGGGCGGGUGUAGARCCGGGGACCGCAGAGGGUGAGCGCGAGAGAGGCUCAUUUGGAAGAUGCCUUCGGGUUGGCGGGUCCGUGAGCUUCUGGGGAUGGCAUCGAGGGCCGGCGAAAGCGGUGCCGUCCUCUAGCGUAGGGCCACAGGACCAAGAGGACCGGCCAGUGCGACUGUGGCUUCUAGAUCUCUAGUGGGAAGAUGGUCGGCAGGAUUAGACUCAGCAGURGGCCUGGCUACUCUCCAGGCGAUGCUACUGAGGAAAUAACUUCGUCUUCCAGACACUUUGUCCUAGAUUUAGGUCGUCAACAGCACUGAGACAGACACCGAGCGCCAAGCACCUCAGCGGCACUUACAGCCUGGAGCCCUCAAGGGGCCUGGCGAUGGACCACCCAGGCUGUCUGCCAAGGGCCCAGCACAGGACUGACCUCACCAAUCAGAACUACUUUAAACCUCACGAGUUCUCGACCCAGAUGGAGUGCUUUGAUGGCCUCACAGGUCCAGGUCCCUGGUUCCACCUCUUGUGUACUUCAUCCAAGGAUGCCCUGGCUUUUCACAGUUGCUAUGCCAAUUCUAUUUUUAAAGGACAACCGGAUUGUUUUCUUCAUUUCCAAACCUGUAAGUGA
rnacentral:lncRNA from 1 species